UACGAAGGGUGCAAGCGUUACUCGGAAUUACUGGGCGUAAAGCGUGCGUAGGUGGUCUGUUAAGUCUGAUGUGAAAGCCCUGGGCUCAACCUGGGAAUUGCAUUGGAUACUGGCAGGCUAGAGUGCGGUAGAGGGUAGUGGAAUUCCCGGUGUAGCAGUGAAAUGCGUAGAGAUCGGGAGGAACACCAGUGGCGAAGGCGGCACC
rnacentral:rRNA from 1 species